rnacentral:rRNA from 1 species
AUUGAACGCUGGCGGCAUGCUUUACACAUGCAAGUCGAACGGCAGCGCGGGCUUCGGCCUGGCUGCGAGUGGCGAACGGGUGAGUAAUGCAUCGGAACGUGCCCAGUAGUGGGGGAUAGCACGGCGAAAGCCGGAGUAAUACCGCAUACGACCUGAGGUUGAAAGCGUGGGACCGAAAGGCCUCGCGCUUUUGCAGGGGCCGAUGUCGGAUUCGCUAGUUGGUGGGGUAAAGGCUUACCAAGGCGACGAUCCGUAGCUGGUCUGAGAGGACGACCAGCCACACUGGGACUGAGACACGGCCCAGACUCCUACGGGAGGCAGCAGUGGGGAAUUUUGGACAAUGGGGGCAACCCUGAUCCAGCCAUGCCGCGUGCGGGAAGAAGGCCUUCGGGUUGUAAACCGCUUUUGUUCGGGAAGAAAUCCUCUGGGCUAAUACCCCGGGGGGAUGACGGUACCGGAAGAAUAAGCACCGGCUAACUACGUG